GAUGAACGCUGGCGGCGUGCCUAAUACAUGCGAGUCGAGCGAACAGACGAGGAGCUUGCUCCUCUGACGUUAGCGGCGGACGGGUGAGUAACACGUGGAUAACCUACCUAUAAGACUGGGAUAACUUCGGGAAACCGGAGCUAAUACCGGAUAACAUCUUGAACCGCAUGGUUCAACAGUGAAAGACGGUCUUGCUGUCACUUAUAGAUGGAUCCGCUCCGCAUUAGCUAGUUGGUAAGGUAACGGCUUACCAAGGCAACGAUGCGUAGCCGACCUGAGAGGGUGAUCGGCAACACUGGAACUGAGACACGGUCCAGACUCCUACGGGAGGCAGCAGUAGGGAAUCUUCCGCAAUGGGCGAAAGCCUGACGGAGCAACGCAGCGUGAGUGAAGAAGGUCUUCGGAUCGUAAAACUCUGUUAUUAGGGAAGAACAAAUGUGUAAGUAACUAUGCACGUCUUGACGGUACCUAAUCAGAAAGCCACGGCUAACUACGUG
rnacentral:rRNA from 1 species